GUUAAAAAAAAAAUUGGGUUUCCGUGUCCAAUGUUUCACCGUCCGUCUUAUUUGAAAAAAAUAUGAAAAAUAAUUAAAAACACAAGUCAGACAUAAAGUAUUAAUCAUGUUUUAUCAUCUAACAACAAUAAAAAUAUUAAUUAUAAAAAAGUUUUAUAUAAGAUGGAUAGUGAAACGUCGGAUACAAAAGCACGG
rfam:Oryza glumipatula chromosome 1, whole genome shotgun sequence.